UACAGAGGUCUCAAGCGUUGUUCGGAUUCAUUGGGCGUAAAGGGUGCGUAGGCGGCGCGGUAAGUCGGGGUGUGAAAUCUCGGAGCUUAACUCCGAAACUGCAUUCGAUACUGGCGUGCUUGAGGACUGGAGAGGAGACUGGAAUUCAUGGUGAGCAGGUGAAAUGCGUAGAGAUCAUGAGGAAGACCAGUGGCGAAGGCGGGUCGCUGGACAGUUCCUGACAGCUGAGACGAAGGCCAGGGGGAGCAAACGGGAUUAGAAACCCGUCGUAGUCAGACCAAGUCCAGUCUCGCACCGAUC
rnacentral:rRNA from 1 species